CGAAGCAAGAAAAAUGUGUUUUUGGAAGAGGAAAUACUUAUUGAGGCUAUUCCCACGACUCGGUCUAGUCUUUUUCAGCAAGUAAAACGUGCAAUAUACCAUGGCGGGUGCGAAUGAGUAACAAGCUUGGUAUUGGUUCCUAUGCUAACUAGUCCAUCUCUUAUGAAUGGCGAAGGGGAAAAUAUGAUCCAUGGGAACCCUUUUGGACAACUCUUUGUGAGGCCUCUUCAUCUUAUCAGGAGCUUGUACAUUAUAGAUAUAAGAAACAAUACCACGA
rnacentral:lncRNA from 1 species